rnacentral:rRNA from 1 species
UACGUAGGGUGCAAGCGUUGUCCGGAAUUAUUGGGCGUAAAGAGCUCGUAGGCGGUCAGUCGCGUCUGCUGUGAAAACUCGGGGCUUAACUCCGGGCCUGCAGUGGGUACGGGCUGACUAGAGUGCGGUAGGGGGAGACUGGAAUUCCUGGUGUAGCGGUGAAAUGCGCAGAUAUCAGGAGGAACACCGGUGGCGAAGGCGGGUCUCUGGGCCGUAACUGACGCUGAGGAGCGAAAAGCGUGGGGGAGCGAACAGG